CGGGAGGCAGCAGUUAGGAAUCUUCGGCAAUGGGGGAAACCCUGACCGAGCGACACUGCUUGAAGGAUGAAGGUUUUCGGAUCGUAAACUUCUGAACGAGGGACGAAAAAUGGCGGUACCUCGCUAAUAGCACCGGCUAACUCCGUGCCAGCAGCCGCGGUAAUACGGAGGGUGCAAGCGUUAUCCGGAAUCACUGGGCGUAAAGGGCGCGUAGGCGGUUUGUUAAGUCCGAUGUUAAAGACCGAGGCUCAACCUCGACACGGCGUUGGAUACUGGCAAGCUGGACGGUUGGAGAGGAAGGUAGAAUUACCAGUGUAGCGGUGGAAUGCGUAGAUACUGGUAGGAAUACCCAUUGCGAAGGCAGCCUUCUGGACAACACGUGACGCUGAGGCGCGAAAGUGUGGGGAGCAAACCGGAUUAGAUACCCGGGUAGUCCACACCCUAAAC
rnacentral:rRNA from 1 species